GCAUGGCUCUGGAUUUAUGGCGAUUCUGAUUCCAUGAAUCUCUCCAUAGUGUACUGCAUGCUACAGCAAUCUGUUACCCCGAACCAUUGGCUAGUCUGGCUUGCUGUAGCCUUGGCCACUGAAGUGGGUGCCACAUAU